AGUGAACGCUGGCGGUAGGCCUAACACAUGCAAGUCGAACGGCAGCACAGUAAGAGCUUGCUCUUACGGGUGGCGAGUGGCGGACGGGUGAGGAAUACAUCGGAAUCUACUUUUUCGUGGGGGAUAACGUAGGGAAACUUACGCUAAUACCGCAUACGACCUACGGGUGAAAGCAGGGGAUCUUCGGACCUUGCGCGAAUGAAUGAGCCGAUGUCGGAUUAGCUAGUUGGCGGGGUAAAGGCCCACCAAGGCGACGAUCCGUAGCUGGUCUGAGAGGAUGAUCAGCCACACUGGAACUGAGACACGGUCCAGACUCCUACGGGAGGCAGCAGUGGGGAAUAUUGGACAAUGGGCGCAAGCCUGAUCCAGCCAUACCGCGUGUGUGAAGAAGGCCUUCGGGUUGUAAAGCCCUUUUGUUGGGAAAGAAAAGCAGCAGGUUAAUACCCCGCUGUUCUGACGGUACCCAAAGAAUAAGCACCGGCUAACUUCGUG
rnacentral:rRNA from 1 species